AAUAGAUACCCUGGUAGUCCAUGCCGUAAACGUUGGGCACUAGGUGUGGGGGACAUUCCACGUUUUCCGCGCCGUAGCUAACGCAUUAAGUGCCCCGCCUGGGGAGUACGGCCGCAAGGCUAAAACUCAAAGGAAUUGACGGGGGCCCGCACAAGCGGCGGAGCAUGCGGAUUAAUUCGAUGCAACGCGAAGAACCUUACCAAGGCUUGACAUGGACCGGAUCGCUGCAGAAAUGUGGUUUCUCCUUUUGGGGCCGGUUCACAGGUGGUGCAUGGUUGUCGUCAGCUCGUGUCGUGAGAUGUUGGGUUAAGUCCCGCAACGAGCGCAACCCUCGUUCCAUGUUGCCAGCACGUGAUGGUGGGGACUCAUGGGAGACUGCCGGGGGUCAACGUCGGAGGAAGGUGGGGACGACGUCAAAUCAUCAUGCCCCUUAUGUCUUGGGCUUCACGCAUGCUACAAUGGCCGGUACAAAGGGUUGCGAUACUGUGAGGUGGAGCUAAUCCCAAAAAGCCGGUCUCAGUUCGGAUUGGGGUCUGCAACUCCG
rnacentral:rRNA from 1 species